ensembl:lncRNA
CAUUAUUUUUACCUCCUAUUGUAUGUAGUGCACUCGUGUAGGGAGUAGGGUACAGUUUGGUUAUGCAGCAGUCGUCGCCAUCGCGCAACGUUACAGGUGUAUAAACGUCAGGAGGAGAAAAAAAAUAACACGGAAGUGACGUGGACGCUCACGCGACUUCGAAUCAGAUUAAACCAUCGUAUUCACGUAAAAAAAAACACCACCACCUAAGCAGGAGGCGAGCUGCUUCCAGACGACGGGAGAGGAGCAGGAUUUAAUCGGUGAAGUGGAAAGUGCAGAGAGCUUUGAAUCUGAGCUUUCUUCAGAUGUAGCUGUAAGACAUGCUCACCAGCCUCACCACAGCAUCAGAGCCACUGAAGACGCAGUGGAGAAGUUUUAUUUUGAAG